AUGGUUGCUAAUCCCGAUUUAAAAAUAGAUUGUCGCCCCUUCUGCGCGGUCACGCUGAGCCAGCGCCCCGGGCCUGGCAACCGGCCGCAGCCGCCUCCGCCUGCCUCUUCGACCCUGGAUCCCCGCCAAGUGAGCGAGCUUCAGGCCUUCGUGAAAAUGUGUAAGCAGCGUCCUGCACACCAAGGAGAUGCGCUUCCUGAGAGAGUGGGUGGAGAGCAUCGGGGGUCAAGUACCACCUGCUACUCAUAAACCUAAAUCAGAAGAAAAUACCAAGGAAGAAAAAACAGAUAGCAAGAAGUCGGAAGAAAACGUUAAGAGAGAUGAGCCAUCAAGUGAGGAAAGUGAUCUAGAAAUUGAUAAUGAAGGUGGAAUUGAACCAGACACUGAUGAUGCUCCUCAAGAAAUGGGAGGUGAAAAUGCGGAGCUAACCGCGGAGAUGGUGGAUCAAGCAAAUGAAAAGAAAGGGGCUGCCGUCGAAGCCCUGAAUGAUGGUGAACUACAGAAAGCCAUUGACUUGUUCACAGAUGCUAUCAAGCUAAAUCCUCGCUUGGCCAUUCUGUAUGCCAGGAGAGCCAGUGUCUUCAUCAAAUUACAGAAGCCAAAUGCUGCCAUUCGAGACUGUGACAGAGCCAUUGAAAUAAAUCCUGAUUCAGCUCAGCCUUACAAGUGGCGAGGGAAAGCCCACAGACUUUUGGGCCACUGGGAAGAAGCAGCCCAUGAUCUUGCUCUUGCCUGUAAACUGGAUGAUGAUGAUGAUGCUAGUGCAAUGCUGAAAGAAGUUCAACCACGGGCCCAGAAAAUUGCUGAACAUCGGAGAAAAUAUGAGCGAAAACGUGAAGAGCGAGAGAUCAAAGAAAGAACAGAAAGAGUUAAGAAGGCUCGAGAAGAACAUGAGAGAGCCCAGAGGGAGGAAGAAGCCAGAGGACAAGCAGGAGCUCAGUUUGGCUCUUUUCCAGGUGGCUUUCCUGGAGGAAGGCCUGGAAUGGGAGGGGGCAUGCCUGGAAUGGCAGGAAUGCCUGGGCUCGAUGAAAUUCUUAGUGAUCCGGAGGUUCUUGCAGCCAUGCGGGAUCCAGAAGUUAUGGUGGCCUUCCAGGAUGUGGCCCAGAACCCAGCAAAUAUGUCAAAAUAUCAAAGCAACCCAAAGGUUAUGAAUCUCAUCAGUAAAUUGUCAGCCAAAUUUGGAGGUCAAGCAUAGUGCCCACCUGACAAAACCCUUACUGAAGGAAAAGCAACCUAGAUCACUUAAUGGCUGUCGCAAUAAUACAAACCAGUGCACCUCUGACCUCAUCAGGAGAGCUGGGGUGCUUUGAAGAUAAUCCCUACCCCUCUGCAGCAAAUCCAGUUGAAGCAUUUUACAAUGGUUUGCCAUUAGGGUGUUCAUUCAGAUAAUGUUUUCCUACUAGGAAUUACAAGCUUAAAACACUUUUUAAACCUUAAAAAUAUUUAAAACUCAAGGGGGUGUUAUUUCCUACAUUUUUAUUUACUAAUCAUUCUGGAUUUUUUUCUUUGAUAUUGGGCAAGGCAGAUACUAAGUAUGGAAAAUACAUAGCUGUAAUGUGAGUGAAAUAAAGGCUUACUAGUGGGAAGUAAAUAAAUCUCAUUUACAUAGAUAAAAGUUUCAGUUGAAUAUAUGGUUACUGAGACUGAGGCAUUUUGAUUUGUCAUUUAAAAAUAUUUUUUAAAUGAUUAAUUUCAAUAAAACUAUUGGGACCACCAGUAUUUCACUCUAACCUGGGUAGGGACUG